rnacentral:tRNA from 1 species
GCGCCCUUAGCUCAGCUGGUAGAGCAUCUGACUUUUAAUCAGGUGGUCGCAGGUUCGAACCCUGCAGGGCGCA